UCUCUGAGCCCCCAUUCCCAAACAGGAACGCUCCCCCUGAAGGCUGAAGGGAGCAGCACACCCGCGUGUGGUGCAGGACUGUCACAGCAGCCCUCGGCGCAAGCAACAGUGAUUAGCAAUUUCCAAAGCACUUCAGCAGGUUUCCAUUUCCAAAAGCAGCUCCCGGAUGGCAGGAGAAGCAAGGAGGCCCCAGCCUGUCUGCACAUGCAGAAAUUUGUUGUUCCUGCAACAUCCUGGGGAAAAAAAUCCUGAUCUGACUCUGAAGAGCAGCUCCAGGAAAUCUGUCCAGUCUGAAUUGCUAAGAAGGUAGAGAAAGCCAGGCAGGAUUUGACUGGGACACCUGGAUUAUCAUCUAAAUGAUAAGAGUGCCAGCCUCUUCUGUCUGCAGAAGCAGGUGAGGAACCCAAGAGUGAUGAGGCUGCUGUGACACCAGUGGCACAUUCAGCACAAGACCUACAGCACUGUCAAGCUGGGAACAGAGUCCAGGUCAGGAACAAACAUUUCCUAAAGCUCUUAACAGAUGAAGGUUCUGGGACUGGCACCUGAGCACAGACAUCCCAGAAAUUCCUUUUCAGCCCAACCCAGAACAAACACAAUUACAAUAAUAAUAAAUGCAGCAAUUACAAUAAUAAUAAAAAUGGUCUUUCCUAGCGUGCAGUGCCCUGGGUCAUGGAUGGCAGCCUCCCCCUUUUGGUGGUAAAGGUUGGUUUUGUGUCACUCCCUUGAAGGGCUGACUGCAGCUGCUGGCAGGGCAAGGAGAACAGCAGAAUUCCUGAGGACACUGCCACCCCAAACAGUGUCUGGGGCCCCGGGGAGCUUGGGCGCCAUCCGGCACAGUCACCCCAGGCACUGCCUGUCCCUGUGUCCGGAGUGUCCUCAGCAGCUGGUCCCUCCCAGCUGGCUGCCCCUGGCUGGGAGGCGAACACAUGGAUGGGGCACUGCACAGCUGGAGCCUGAGGCAAGGGCAGGAAUGUCCAGCAAUGCUUCAAGUCCUCACUCAGGAUGAGCAGAAGGGGAAAACUCCUUUAUUUUGAGAGCAGUCCAGAACCAGGGUAGCUCACACUGCUCCAGCCAUGAGGGAAGUUCUACAUCCCCUUGGAGCCAGUGCCCAGCUCAAUGCCAGGGAUCUGUUUGGGCACCAAAACUGCUCUCAGUGUGCUGGGUCUCACCGUGGGACACCAGCAGUGCUCACACAGCACAGGGCAUUGUUCAGUCAGCAGAAUUAAGCAAGUGCUGAAUUAGGCUUUGCUGUCAGGACUUCACCUGCCAGUGUUUGUUUUUUUGCAGGAGGAACAUCCCUCAUACCCUCAGUUCUCUCCUGAAGGAAAAAUACAAUAUUAUCUCAAUUAAACAAAAGCUUUUUUUCUACAGCUGUAUCACUCCAAAUGGAGCAGGAUGACAGGCAGAUCAAUGUAGGUCCUGUAAUUCAGAACAGGUAUUCAGAAUUGUUUCAGAGAGAGGGAAACCUUUUCCUCCCACCAGUGUAAUUUACAAUUUAUGGCUGGGAAAAAGCAGGAGGGGGGUGUUUGUGUGUGUGUUGCAGUAACUAUUGCUGAUUAUCACCCCUGGACUCUUCUCUUUGUUUUCCUUAGAUGAACAAUAUUGGGUAUCUGAUCCAAACAGAAUCCAUUCAGAAUUGCUGGACUGCUGCACAAAAUGGUGGUGUGUUGAAAAAUGCCUUUUUUCCCCCCCCUUGUUGGCAAGUCAGUGUGGUACAAAGAUGGGAGCAGGAAAGGAUAAACACAUGUAUGGUGACUGCAGUGAGCAGGUGCAGGGAUAAUUCCCAACACAGCCUGUAAAGCCCACUGCCAUUUGAAGGUGUCAGCACAGUAAUGGGAGAUGGAUGGGAGCAAUUCCUGCUGGGGCUCUUGCCAGAAGCACACAGUGCCUGAAUCCACACUAUUGACGCUGCUCUCCCCUCAUCUGAGCUGCAUUAGAGACGCUGCAAGAAGAGGACUGUGGACAGGGACAGUGGGAUGCUGUUAGUGAGUCACAUAGGACAGGAACUGGGAACUCAGCAAAGGCCAUGCACUGUAGCACAAAACUUGUAUCUGCAUGAAAAUCAAACCCUCCUUACUCCAUGUGUGCUCUGCAUGGUGGGGAUGGAGCUGCUCCUGCAGCAGCAGAAAAGGCCCUUUAGCUGCCCCCAGGUGCCACCAUCAGGAUGGCAACACCUGUGUCCAAGGGAUAGAAAGAGGGAAGCACAGAUGGACACAGAGAAGCCCCCAAAUGGAGCACGAAUGGGGAUCUGCUGCUGCUGGCCAGGAAAGGGUCAGUUUUAUCCACUAUAAAUAUACAGAUUUGAUAUAUAAUGGAUAUAUAAAGGUAAGGAUGAAUGGAAGUAAGGGAGGACAGACUUAGGAAUGGAUGGACAAAAGGAAAGAAGGCAGGAGAGUCAGCUGGAAGGAAGGACAAACAGAAGAAAGAAUGAACAGGAGGAAAGAAUGGGUGGAAAGAGGGACAGAAAGGGACACUAAAGGACAAACAGAAGGAAGGACAGAUGGAUGAAAAUAACACUGGUAGAAUAAAGGGAUGGAAGCAUGGGCAAAAGGAGGAAGGAAGGAGUGGAGCACAGAAUGAAGAACAGAAGGAUGGAAAAGAAGAUGGAAGGGGUAGAAGGAAGAACAUGUAUAGACAAAGGGGAGGCAAAAUAGGUGGAAAGACAGAUGGAAGAACAGAAGGAGGGAGGACAAAUGGUAGCAGUGGCAGAAAGAAGGACAGAGAGAUGGAAGGGAAGGAGGGAUAAAAACUGCUGCUGGAAAGAUGGGAGAAGAACAGAGAGAAGGAUGGAAGGCCAGCAGCAGAAGGAAGGAAAACUGAAACAGCACACUGAAAGAAGGGAAGAGGCUCACCCACUGUGCCUUGCAGGUCCUGGCCCAUUCCACUGUGACGCCAGCAGGGGCGAUGCUCAUGCCUGAUGUGAUGUGGGAUGGGGCUGUGCUAUGGGAGGCAGCAGCAAAAUCAUUUGAACUUGAUAAGCAAACAUCCUCCCAACUUAACAAAGCCCCGGUGGUAAUGGGAAGGUUAUGCCAAGUGUUUCAGCGCUGACUGUCAUGAGAGGAGUUUCCUCUGGGCCAGAGCUGCACAAAAUGGUUUCAGGAGAGAAGAAGCCAGGAAAAGCCUUUGCUGCCUGUGCUCCAAGCGCUGCUUUCCCCCAGCAAACGCAGCACCUUGGCCCUCGUUACAACACGACACAGCCACCCCGAGAGCUGCGGGCACAGCAACGAAGGCAAAAUCUGCAGAGGAAAAUUUGGAUGCUGGAUUCAAAACUUGCAGUGCUUUUUAAAUGUACAUUGCAAUUCAUCCCAUGGAGGGUCUACAGAGAGCAAGAGUGACCUAUUUGCUUCAGCUCUGAGCCUAGCUCUGGAGAGCUGGGUUUAGUUCACAGCUCAGCCACAGGCUAAAAUAUUGGACAUGAUGUGUGCCCUCUUUUCCCUUCUCUAACGAGAGAUUAUUAUUUCAGUGCCUCACACUGGUGAGAAAAGACAGAAUUCAUUAACCUCCCUGUGUUUUCAGAUACUCUGCUCACAAAGGUCACAUAUAAAUUAUAGUAAAAAAGUGGCUAUUUUAGGGGAUUAAACUGAGUUAACACACCAGGAAAUAUUAAUAUUAAAACGAGCAGCUGGCAUUAGAUCUGGUACCAGUACCUUGGAGAAACUAAAGAAAUACCUCCCAAACUCCUUCAUUUAACAUCUGUUUUUUGGUUAUAUCAAGGAGGGACUGGAGUUGUAAAUCCUGAUCACAGUUCUCUAGAAUCACAACAAAUUGUCCUUUUCAGCACACCCAACUCCUGUAGAGACUUUGCUCCUGUCACCAUGGAAAAGUGAUUUCUUUGGGCCAAGUUUGCCCUUCUGGUCUGAGCUGGCAUUGGGUUCCAGAGGGCAUUUUCCCCUGGGAAGUACACUGGGAUACUCAUCCAAAAAAACCCUCCAGCAACAGCGCUGUGGCAGUUUCCUGAGGUCAAACCAAAAUGUGUGUCCAAACACUAAACAGAAUUAGCUCCACUUCCAUUGCAGGUACCACAGAUAAGAAAGGCAAGGGAAGUGAGAGUAUUAAAGAAUAUCUUUAAACUUUUUAUCCCAAUAAUGAUAUUUUUGUACAAGAAAUCUAAAAAGAUUUACAAUGAACAAUAGUAUUUAUACACACAUAUAAAUAUAUAUAUAAAAUUGUAUUUAUAUGGAGAUGUAUAAAGCAAACCUGUUCCAUUUUUCCUCUUUUGGGUCAAACAUCCCUUGUUCCUUUUCUGAUUCCCUCUAACCAUUACCUCUCUCCUCAGGAACUCCCUUUGACCUGCAGUACUGUUCAGCUACGUUUGAGUUUUUUUUCCAGUAGAUGGUUUUCCAAUUAAAGCCAAUUAAGUCUGUAACCCAACUUCGUUGUCAUUCCUUGUGAUUUUUAGGGUCUUGCAAUUUUACUUUCUCCCUGAAAGGCCCACUCAGGGGAUUGUAGAGCAUUUCCAUUUUUAUUAAAAAGAAAAUCUUUGAAGAUAUCAUGCAAAAAUUGAAAUGAUGGAUGGGAAAAGCUAAACACCCCAACACCUUCUCUUUUUUUAAAGCUUUGUGAGCUCUUUGAUGCUUCAGUUGUAAUGAUUUAAUGCUUGGAAGCAGAGGGACUGAUGAAGAUGUCAGCCCAGAGCCUGGUUCUAGGGAUUGCUGUAUCUGAAACACCAAAGCAAAAUACUUUUCUACUGCUUUUCCAAAUGGUUUUGGUCUAUCUUUAACCAAAGUCUCUUCUGCUGUAACUAUUUAGGUAACACAAUUUAAUGACCACUCAAUUUCCCAAUGAAAAAAGGAGAGACUUCAACAAAUGUCUCCACCGCUCUUCCUGGUGCAAUAUCCACCUCUGCCAGGGAGAAGAGCCACCAACAGUUCAACAGGAAGUGAAAACAAUGACACAGAGUUCGAUGGGAAGAACAAAACCACAUGUAAAACAGGUUUGAACCAGAGUUUCCCACUGCUCUCCCUCAAAAGCAUUCCCAUCUCCAAUAAGUACCUGCUGCCCACUUGCUUCCAAGUGAAAUUCUCAGGGACACUCAGACUGCACAGUAGAAGUUGCCAAGGAAACUGGAUUCACUUAUGAUUUCACAUGUUGAUUAUUUCCAUCUCCUUUUUUUCCCCCACCCACAUAUGUCUUAAAAUUAGUAUUGUCCUUCAUGGUCUAAUUACCACACUGGCAUUGCCAUUCAGGACAGGAAAUUGGAUUUGCUACCUGAAUCCAGGCUUGAGCCACUCUCUUUCUUAAAGCAAGACAUUAAAAACCCCUUCAGAAUUAUUUUUUCAGUAGAUUACUUCAAACUGCCUUUUUUCCACACUGAUAACCAAAAUAUCCAAUGGCACAUCCAGCUAAAGAGCACAAAUACAACAUUCCCCGACUGAGCUGGUGCUGUAAAACUGAAAGUAGACAAGGAAAAAAAAUGGAUUUCUCUUUGUUGUUGUUUUGAUUUCUGCGAGUCACCCUACUGGGCAUUGGCCACACAAUGCCAAUGCCUUCAAAUGCAGUGGGAGGUAAUAUUGAUCUCAGUAAAGCUGGGAUCCCCAGUGCAUUUCAGGAGGUCACCAGCUCCCUAGUUAAAGUCAGCUGGAGCUGGAGGAAGCACUGAGAUGCUCCAGUCUGCAUGAGGUGGAACAACAGCUCAGGGACUGGACAGAUCUUCAGGCUACACAAAUUACAGCCAUAGUUUGUACAGGGACAGCUAUGGACUCUUAGGGUUUGAAGAGUAUUUUUAAGAGUUCCAUAUUUUGAUCCUAGUCCUGAAUUUUUCCCCUACUUUGAUCAUCACUCUGUGCAUUGUUUGAAGAGAUACUCAAAGCCAUGACCUUCAAAUGAGAGCCAAAUGACUGAGCACAGUUGAGGGUGAUCAUUUUCCCAUCACCAGCACUGUCAGAACAGUGUUGUUGAACUCUGGGCGUGUUUCCAUUUCUCCCUUGCUUUUCCAAAUGAUAUGAGAAAUGCACCACGUGGCAGAAUGAGAGGAAAUUAAUUAAUAGAAAAUUAAAACAUGAGCUCCUUUACUCUCAUGAGGAGACCACCUUGCAUUUGGUUUAACUGCACCUGUGAGAAUCUUACCUGACUGAGCCUUGCAGCAGGUUCCUCCCAAGCUGUGUGAUGCAGCUCGGUCAGGAGGGAUCGUGGCCUCUGUAUGGAUUAUCUCGUGCCUGGGGCUGCUCUUAAUAAAGAACAAUUAAACAGAACCUGGCAGAACACCAAGGAUGACACACUGUUCCUUCAGAGCAAUGGGAGUCUCUGUAAUCAGCUCCAAAAUUCAAGGGAGGCUCAGGACUAUUCCCAGGUGGUCGCACCUUCCCCUCAGAGCCAGUGUUAAGGAAUAGCGGCAGGUGUGUGCAGGUCAUUUGGCUGCUGUAACAGAUGUGGCAGCUGACAGCUCCACAAGGACUGGAAAAGGGAAUUCUGGAACAAUAGAGCACAGUUGACUCAACGGAUAGUUUUGUGGAAUGGAGCUAUUUUAUCACAUUUUAAGUGGUUUAAAAAUUGGGUAUUGGCAGGGGAUCAUUACACAGCUACCGGUUCCAUUAAGCAGCUGCAGAGUUGACAGGGUUAGCACAGAUACUCCGUUUUUCACCUACUGCUGCUUAAAUCCAACUAAGACCACUGGAGCCAACUAGCUCCAACUGACACAAGCAGCUUUUUUAAACUGAUUUCUGUUAAAAAAAAAAAAAAAAAAGCCAUUUACAUUAAAUUCCUUACACAUUGAUAACCCUCUGAAGAGACUCAUUGGCAUGGGAAGAAAAGUAAGCAGUGACAUGGUUCAUGGAGUGGAUCCAAAAGCUGGUUUUCCAGAGGACUCCUGUAAGAUCUCGUGUCAACCUGCAGAGGUGAGAGGUGGAGAGGGGUGUGAGGAGCUGUAGCAGAGCCCCCAGGGACGCCCCUCUGAGUAGGACAGAGACACCUGGAAGUGUGAAGUGCCUCCAUGAUGCAGUGACACGAGACUCCCAAGUAUUAUGGCUUUGAUCUGGCCCCGGUCCCCUUUACACUGUUAGAAAGUACACAUGGAAUUAAAUCCGACUGGCGCCGUGAUCAAUACUCUGAGGUGCUUUCAAAAUUAAGUAUUUAUUUUGGGGACUCCCCUUCUGAAGUUCCCUGGUUCUCCUUAGGAAUUCAGUGUAUUUCAUUACACCAAAGAACUUACACCAAAACUGUUAUUUCAUCUCCCAGGAAAAUUAAUCAGUGUCUUCCAUCAGCUCCUACAAGCUCCAUCUGUCAUGUCUCCAGUAGCCCUCCAGAAAACACUGGAAAGCACAUCUACACAUUUCCUUCAAAACACAAACCUAACGGUUGAUUAAAAAAAGGGAAAACCAGGGAGUUUGCAGACAAAGAACAUCUUUGUUUGUUGACAGCAAUGAAAUGUAACUUGUCACCAGCGCUGAUAUGUUGUAUUAAUGGCUCUUCUGUGAAAACACUGGGCUGGGUGUAAUAAAUAUUGAUGUGAGCACACUGGGUUGGGAAGUGUGUGACAGAUGGAAACUUUUUAAGGUGAACAUAAAAUCAUCUUCAAUAUUUCUCCAACUUGAAACUCUAAUAUCCCCUUUUAACUGGAAGCCAUUAUUAUGUUUAUCACCAGAAACAAUGUUUGCUGCUGAUACAGGAGAUAGAGGAGGGAAAAAUAUCCUUACCUGCUGCUGCUGCCAGCAUCCCUGAGGAACCAAA